rnacentral:sRNA from 1 species
UUUCUAAACAGGUCACCUCCCCAUAUCCUAAUAACCUUUCAUUUCCAUUACUUCUGGUGGGUGGGUGGGCUAGAAGGGGAGUUAAAGCACUUAAGAGCCUCGUUAAAGUUAGGGUUGAGAAAAAUUUAAACUUACAGUUGAGAACCACUGGGUUAGAUCCCACAGCCUUCACUUAACUAGAUCUGGGUGAGCAGCUGGUGUUCUCUCUCUCUCUCUCUCUCUCUCUCUCUCUCCUUGAUUUUUUCUUUAUCCCCUUUAUCCAGUCUCUUUAUCCUCUUAUCACCCUACUGUGCCCGCCGUACUUAGUUCUGUGGGUAUUCUUUAAGCAUAUUUAUUUUUUAUCUUAUGUGUAUGAGUGUUUGCCUGACUAUGUCUAUGUACCACGUGAAAACAGAUGCCUGCAGAGGCCAGAAGAAGGCAUUAGAUCCCCAGAGGCUAGAGUUACAGAUGGUUGUGAGCCACUGUAUGGAUCCUGAGCUGAGAGUAGCAAUUGGGUCCAGAAACCGGCCAGUGCACUUAAUCACUGAGCCAUCUCUCCAGUCCCUGGUUUUGUUGUUGUUGUUUAUUUGUUUGGGGGUUUUUUGGGGGAAGGGCGGAUAGGGCCUCAUUAUGUAGCUGGAUAGAACUGGAACUAAGUAUGACCCCCUGCCUCAGCCUCUGGAGUGUCGAGAUUAACAUAACAGCAAGCUAAUUAGAUAUGACAAAUAUUUAGUUCUGUGAUGACCUCUUUUUUUUUUUUUUGGUUCUUUUUUUCGGAGCUGGGGACCGAACCCAGGGCCUUGCGCUUCCUAGUCAUAGGCUCCGUAUGUGAACUCGUUUGCAUCUCUGCGGGCUUUAAAUGUUGCACAACUCCACGGAAGAAGAAACUCUGCCACAAGGCCCGUUCCUAUUGCAAAGCCCCAUGUCUUUGAGAUGUCUGUUUCUACUCCACCACUCUCGGCUGAGGCCAUGUGAAAGCUUAUGUGAGCACCUUGCAUCACAGGAUAAACACGAGGCUGCUCUCUGUCCCUUCAGGACGAAGGAGCGGUGGGGAAGUCACAGGACACUCACCUGAGGAUCCAUCCACUCCCACCACCCAGGUCCAGCAGCAGUGAGUGACCAGAAGCAGGCCAUUGCCAGGUAUCCUUGAAGGGCAGGGAGUCUGUCCAGCCACGCCCAGGAAAGCACGCCCGUCCUGGAGCAUGUUCGGGUGUGGCCUUGGAAGAUAUGCAACUGAGAGCAGAGGUCAGAACAGAACCAGAUCAGAAGGGCUUUGCUUGGCCAGGCCGUUUGGCUCUGCAGCACACCUGGAUCCCAUUCCUAGACUGUCCGGCUCUGAUUGGUGCCCACUGCAGGCUCCGCCUCCAGCUCUUUGGAUGAGAAAAUAUGGACGCCUGUGUUUUAAGAACUGAAACUGUCCUGGGACCUCGGCCCACUGGAGUUUGCUGCCACAUUUAAGGUGGUUCCUCCCAGCUCCGUUAAUUCCAUCUAGAGAGUACCUCACCCACACGGACAGGUUUGUCUCCCAGGUGAUUCUAGACCCUGUCAAACUGGCUGUAUUAAAGUGUCACGUGCUGGUUGCUGUAAGGACAGUCCCCAGAAGCUGCCUUCUCUAAGCACCCACAGUGCUGAGACUCUGGCCUUGACCGCUCAUACUUCAAGUUGGGCUGCAUUUCUGAGAGUUCUGCUACAGGGGCAUGGCUGUGCUCUCCCGGGGCAGGGGCCUCCCCAGGUUCAGAACCCUUGAAUCACCACUAUCUAUCUCCCUCUGCCCUUUUCCCUCCUUCCUGGCCCCCUCUCUUAAAAACCUUACUGUGCGGCAUGGAGAACCCCAGCAGGAGCUCCUGCAGGGAGAGAGAAGGCACACUGGUGAGGAAGCUUGCUUCUUUCUCAGCUGUAGCUGGGGCCAAGCCUACAGCCUCUUGUCAGUAAGUACACCCAGGGCUGCAGAGAAAGGCCCCAUCAUUGGGAAAGAGAAGGGGCUUUCAAGUCUUUCACUUUCCUGUCUGUCAUUGUUCUUAAAGUUUCAGGGUAAAACUAGGGCCUAAUGCAGCCACGAAACACCCGAGCUGUUCAAGGCAGGCCUUGUGCAAAACGCUGCAGGAUUUCGGACAGGAAGUUGUGUGGCUGUGUGGGCGUGAGGACCAGCUUCCUCCCUCUCUGACACUUUCUACGCUUUGGGGACCUUGCUCAGCAGUCUCCCCUCCCCCAAGCCCAGCAGACCCUCCUGAGGCCUCACACAGCCUCUGCCCCAGCAAGAGUGAAAACAGCAGGGUGAAUCCCAUCCUCUCUCAUCCCUGUCCCUCAUCUCCCCUAGACACGUGACCAUUUCUGACACCACACAGGACUUUCACUUCUUCAGAGUAGAAGCACUUGUAGAGUGUCUGGUUUUCGGAAUACUUGUCCUACCCUGCUUUCUCAGAGGAGGCUUGAUCUUGUUAUCCUUGUCUGGGUUCCUUGCCUCUGAAAGCAUAGUUUCUAGGUAACAAGCAGGGGCGGUCUGUAUACCCUGUAGCUACGGAGGGAGUCUCAGGAGUUCAGAAGCUAAUUUGAAUAGAGUUAUUGAUAGUGGAUAGAGCAAUUUGCAUACUGGAACUAAGUGGGUGGCUCUAGGAUGUUUAGGAAAUGACCCACAGAGUCUGUAGAUUCUGGGGCUCCAAAUCCAUUUCUCACAGAUGGGCUACCCUUAACUGCAGUCCCUGCCAACAUUCUGCUACAAGAACAUGUCAGAUUCAGAUUCCAGUAGCAGGAGCCUGCCCUGAUCAGCUGCUGGGAAGGCACUGUGGCCCAACUUGAAGAACUCUUGAAUUAGUGCCUCCCUCUCCUGGAACCUGAGAGCCUUGAUCUACAAACUGAAGGGCAGAAGGCAUGACUUUAACGCUUCACGGACUUAAAAUGCUGUAUCCUGUGAUUCUCCCAGCAGACGUAAACCUUGUCAUCUAACAGCAGCCUUCUUCAGCCUCAGAAAGGAACUGUGCAAUUUUAGCCCUUGCAUGUUAAGAGACCAGGAGGAGGGGUGCCUUCCAAGGCAGAGGGGCUUGCAGAGUAGCCAAUAUCAAGCCCUUCGUCCAGGAAGGGCUACAGUCUAUUCUCUUUCUU